CUGGCGGACAGCGACCAAGAACUGCCGCCUCCUUAUCCAGGGUGUGACGCGACACCAUGCCUAUUGGACGGUUUGCAGCCAGGAGGGAAUAAUCCGAUUGU